GUAGACAAUGAACAAGCAGUACGAAUCUGUCGUUAUUAGGGACGGUAUUGUUCAACAGUCUUUCAUAUUCGAAACGCGGGAGUGUGGACGUGCUACAGAAUAGUUACCUAUUUAAACGUUACAAUUUUUGUGUUUAGCAAGUGUUUGUGCAAUUGAAUCCUUCCCUGAUGCACUUCGUGAUACACAAAGAAGCUUAUUCCAAUAACACAAUUCUUCAUAAAUUCUUUCCCAUGCCGUUAUGCAUAAACACAAUACCGCUUCGUGUCCUAUGCUUAUCUAUCAUACAACAAAUUAAACAUAGGAUAUAAUCUAAACUAACAGUUUUUCGACAUAAAUAGGUUAAUACUUUUGUAUAUGAUAUGAAACGUUACGACAUCGGUUACACUACUGUUGCUUACAAAGCACGAGUUUUGACUGAUUGAUAAAUAAAGAAAAAAAAAAAAAAAGAAUAAUAACAAGAAAGAACCGAUUCGGAAGGACGAGCCUUUCGUUUACCUCCGAAUCUCUCAUCAAACAGGUCAUAUUGUAGGAUGUGAGCAUACUUUCCGCGGUGAACAUAUGAACGCACAAAAGAUAUAUGGAUGCCAUUAUUUCGUUUAACGAAAUCAUCGAAUAACACAAACAAUUCUUAUUUACAUUAUUUCCCGAGAUACGAAGCCGCAGUUCUGUUCUUAAUGGGAACUACGUCGAUUGACUGAAAUGAAACAGAAAGGAAAUGAAAAUUCAAUUCAUUACCUAUAAAAUAUGUUAAUUAUUUUUCGACAUAAUUGCCAUUUGCAUCAAUCCAUACUUGGCAACUUGUGACAAGUUUCUUCAUUCCGCCAGCGAAGAAUUCUGCUGGAUGCUUCUAGUAAACUUUUGAUAAAUAACUUCACUGCUCUGUUAACUUCAUUUUCACACUUGAAAUGAGUUCCCCAUCUCUUAAUUUUCCGUUUGUAAUUUGUAUAAAAUGAAACUAAAUCGUCACCGCGAUGUGUGUAUUAUCGUCUGCUUAUACUUUAACUCGCAUCUCCUGCGGCAACGUUUGCACAC